AUACCUUUCUCAGCCUUUUGGCUAAGAUCAAGUGUAAUAUUUGUUCUUAUCAGUUUAAUAUCUAAUAUGUGAGUCAUCGACUCACGCAAUAUUAACUUAAUUUUUUAAAGGGAGAGAAUCUGUUAAGGUAGCUCGCUACCUAGGCUCUCAUGUGUCGCCCAUGUGUUGCACAUUGCACAGGCCUGGCGCACUACAC